rnacentral:rRNA from 1 species
AGUGAACGCUGGCGGUAGGCCUAACACAUGCAAGUCGAACGGCAGCACAGUAAGAGCUUGCUCUUACGGGUGGCGAGUGGCGGACGGGUGAGGAAUACAUCGGAAUCUACUUUUUCGUGGGGGAUAACGUAGGGAAACUUACUCUAAUACCGCAUACGACCUACGGUUGAAAGCAGGGGAUCUUCGGACCUUGCGCGAUUGAAUGAGCCGAUGUCGGAUUAGCUAGUUGGCGGGGUAAAGGCCCACCAAGGCGACGAUCCGUAGCUGGUCUGAGAGGAUGAUCAGCCAAACUGGAACUGAGACACGGUCCAGACUCCUACGGGAGGCAGCAGUGGGGAAUAUUGGACAAUGGGCGCAAUCCUGAUCCAGCCAUACCGCGUGGGUGAAGAAGGCCUUCGGGUUGUAAAGUCCUUUUGUUGGGAAAGAAAAGCAGCAGGUUAAUACCCCGCUGUUCUGACGGUACCCAAAGAAUAAGCACCGGCUAACUUCGUG